CGAGGCUUGCCUUCCUCUCAAUCCUUUAACAACUAGAAGGAAUGCUUCUAUUUUUAAGUACAAGGAUUUUUCUUUUCACUACCAAUAUAGGAAAAAUGCUUCUGGUAUAAAGCAAAAGGAAACAAUUCAUUUUCCCUCCAUAUUUCUUCCCUCCAUUUCACGUUCAACCAAUUAUUAAAACCCAAUAUCUUCUACUUCUCCGGUCUUCACUCGCUCAAUCUGAUUUUUCUCUGGACCGCUUGAUGGUUUAUAUAGUUGGUACUCUGAAUUUGAGAUUUUCUUUUAAUUUUUCCCGUUAAAAUUAAAGCUUUGCUAUUAAUUUAGGUGAGUUUAUUCUACAAAUUUCUUUGUUAAUUAGAUCUAAUUCCUGAUCAUUUCCUGCUGGGUAUUGUUUUUCCUCUUCUUUUGAUGAAAAGUCUGUGAGUUCCCCUGUUGUUACUGAAUUAAUGUUUUGUUAGAUAUUUGGGAUAUUCUGUCUUGAAUUGAUUGAGUGAGCAGUAACGGUGUUAAUCAUCAAUAGUAAUGAUUUUAUUGGUAUUUUCAAUUAAUCACAAAAUUACUGAGUUUGUGAUUACUUAUGAAGUAAAGGAUUUUACAGAAAAAAAGUUGUAAGUACUUUGGACAUGGUGGUUUUGGCAUAAGAAACUGAUUAAUUGGUUAUUAUGGGGGAAUAAUCAUAAAAUUCAAUUUUUAUGAGGUAAAAAGUAGUUACAGAAGUUUUAAUGCACAUAUAUCUUCUAUGAUUUUAACCUAGACAUUGCAGCAAAGCACCAUCUUGGUACAUUUGCACCAGCUGAUGCCCUUGUGAUGCAAGAGGAAGCAUGGAAUGCAUAUCCUAAAUAUAGAUCAGUUCCCAGAUCUUUUUGAAGUUCUUUAUGAGCAUGGACACCAUCCACAAAGUUGACAAUGGAUACUCUGAGAAUGUAAUCUUAACAGGGUAAUGAAACUGACUUGAGAUAUGAUAAUUAGUUCGAUGCAAGAAGAGCGGCCAUUAGGUUAACUUAUUCCGUGCUUCUCUCAUAUCAUUGUUUCAUAUAUAGUUUGAUGCAAAUUUAAAAGCAUGGAAGAGACAACAUAUAGGAAAUUUCUUUAGUUGAAAUAGUAUAGGUUCUUCAAUGGAAUGAUUAUACUGGUUGAUCAUUUUGGGAAAAAGAAGAUUACCCGUGAGAUCCAUUUCAUAUAUAUUCCCAUUUUUUUAAUCAAUAUUUAUCCUACAUGUAUUCCUAUGUCUUUGUUAACUAUGUGUUCUCCUCUGCUUCUGUCUUGCUUUUAUCAGGUAUUGUAGAGUUGCAACUCAUCAUUUGAGCAACAUUUGCUUGUGAAAGGUUCAAGUUCAAACUUUGUGAAACAUACUCUGAAUUUAGGCCAAUCUGAAAGGGGUCUUCUUCCCUCUAUGAUGAUCAAAACAAAUUAGUUUUACUAAGGCAUGAAAUCGUUUCACAUGUUCUUUUCGCAUGUUUUAUUCUUUCAUUUCUACAGGACCACACUAUUCUAAAAGGUUCAAGUCCAAAGUUUCUGCUCUAUUCAUGUAAAUAUAUUAUCAUUCAAUUAUAGAUGCAAUUCUGAUAUUGAUGAUUGAG